UGACGCCCAUAGGACCCCAAUGUGUGAUCCCGAUGUGACCCCAAUGGGACCCCAAUGGGAUCCCAAAGUGACCCCCAAUGGGACCCCAAUAGGACCUCAAUGUGACCCCAAAGUGUGACCCCCAAUGUGACCCCAAAGUGUGAGCUGAAGUGACCCCAAUGUGACCCCAAACUGACCCCAAACUGACCUCAGACUGUGACCCCGAUGGGACCCCAAAGUGUGAGCUGAAGUGACCCCAAUGUGACCCCAAUGCGUGACCCUAACUGACCCCCUGACCCCAAAUGUCCCCAUGUGAUCCCAAAUGACCGUAAUGUGACCCCGAAUGUGACCUCAAAGUGUGACCCCAAAUGACCCCGAGUGACCUGAAAUGACCCCAAUGCGUGACCCCAACUGACCCCGAGUGACCUGAAAUGACCCCAAAGUGUGACCCCAUGUGACCUGAAGUGACCCCAAUGUGUGACCCCAAGUGACCUGAAGUGACCCCAAAGUGUGACCUGAAAUGACCCCAAGGUGA
ensembl:lncRNA